ACUUGUCUUACCCUUGGUCCGCUCCUCGCGGUCACGGACUUCAGGCACUCCAAGCUUCCAUGGCUUGACGGGCGGCGUGUACAAGGCCCGGGAACGUAUUCACCGCGCCAUGGCUGAUGCGCGAUUACUAGCGAAUCCAGCUUCACGGAGUCGGGUUGCAGACUCCGAUCCGAACUGAGACGGGUUUUCGGGAUCAGCUCGGCGUCGCCGCCUGGCUCCCCUCUGUAGCCCCGCCAUUGUAACACGUGUGUCGCCCCGGACGUAAGGGCCGUGCUGAUUUGACGUCAUCCCCGCCUUCCUCACAGCUUGCGCCGGCAGUCUCUCCAGAGUGCCCGGCUUCACCCGGGGGCAACUGAAGAUGGGGGUUGCGCUCGUUAUGGCACUUAAGCCGACACCUCACGGCACGAGCUGACGACAACCAUGCAGCACUUCGCAUCGCGUCCGAAGAACCACCCCUUUCAGGGUGUAGCGCGAUGCGUUUGAGCCCGGGUAAGGUUCCUCGCGUAUCAUCGAAUUAAACCACAUGUUCCUCCGCUUGUGCGGGCCCCCGUCAAUUCCUUUGAGUUUCACCGUUGCCGGCGUACUCCCCAGGUGGAUAACUUAACGCUUUCGCUCGGUCACCCAGCCACCAAUUUGGCCGGAUAACUAGUUAUCAUCGUUUACCGCGUGGACUACCAGGGUAUCUAAUCCUGUUCGAUACCCACGCUUUUCGUGCAUGAACGUCAGUGGCGUGAUGGACAGCUGCCUUCCAAUCGGGGUUCUGCGCGAUAUCUAUGCAUUUAACGUUAACCGGGCAUUCGGCAUCUUCCAGG
rnacentral:rRNA from 1 species